UCCUAUUUUUGCUUAGUAUAAAAGACACCAGAUCCCAUUUGAUCUUUGAAGCUAAAUGUGGUAAGCUCAGAUUAGUACUUGGGUGGGAGACUAUCAAUGAAUACAACGAGCUGUAGGCU
rnacentral:rRNA from 1 species